rnacentral:rRNA from 1 species
UACGUAGGGUGCGAGCGUUGUCCGGAAUUAUUGGGCGUAAAGAGCUCGUAGGCGGUUUGUCGCGUCGACUGUGAAAACCUAUAGCUUAACUGUGGGCUUGCAGUCGAUACGGGCAGACUUGAGUUCGGUAGGGGAGACUGGAAUUCCUGGUGUAGCGGUGAAAUGCGCAGAUAUCAGGAGGAACACCGGUGGCGAAGGCGGGUCUCUGGGCCGAUACUGACGCUGAGGAGCGAAAGCGUGGGGAGCGAACAGG